rnacentral:rRNA from 1 species
UACGUAGGGGGCAAGCGUUGUCCGGAAUCAUUGGGCGUAAAGCGCGUGUAGGCGGCCCGAUAAGUCCGCUGUGAAAGUCCAGGGCUCAACCCUGGGAUGCCGGUGGAUACUGUCGGGCUCGAGUCCGGAAGAGGCGAGUGGAAUUCCUGGUGUAGCGGUGGAAUGCGCAGAUAUCAGGAGGAACACCAAUAGCGAAGGCAGCUCGCUGGGACGGUACUGACGCUAAGGCGCGAAAGCGUGGGGAGCGAACAGG